GUCUGUGACCAAAAGGAGGGCGAGGACACGUUAGAGGAGGGAUGAUACUGAACGGUUUACAGCUUGAUGUGGGAGACGCGGAGGUUUUGCUGCAUUUCUCCUGUUAGAUUUCGAUUCAGUCCCAUCAGAAAAAGAAGCUGACAAAAUGCAACAAACAUGAACAAAGAACAGUAAGUGUAUGUUCCAAAGAUUGAACCUCCUUGGAACUUGGAAGAUCUCAUUGGUUCUCCUAUUUGCCGAUAUAUACUUUUCUCUUACCUUUUGGAACAAACGAACACGAUUAAUCUAAAGAGAGUAUUCGCAACAAAGGUCAAAAAGUGAAUAGAAACUCCCUCUGGAAUUUUUUGUUCUUUAUUAAUCUCAAACUUAUCAAAGAGAGUUUAGCAAAAAGGAAAUUCUCAGAUCCAAAUACUCUGUUUUUUUUUCCGUUUCAGGGAAAAACUUGUAAAAAAAAAAAAA